ACGGAAGGCAGCAGUGGGGAAUAUUGGGCAAUGGGCGAAAGCCUGACCCAGCGACGCCGCGUGAGCGAAGAAGGUCUUCGGAUUGUAAAGCUCUGUGUACGGGAACGAUAAUGACGGUACCUGUAUAGAAAGCCACGGCUAACUACGUGCCAGCAGCCGCGGUAAUACGUAGGUGGCAAGCGUUAUCCGGAUUUACUGGGUGUAAAGGGUGUGUAGGCGGGGGAGCAAGUCAGAUGUGAAAUCCAUGGGCUCAACUCAUGGACUGCGUCUGAAACUGUUCUUCUUGAGUGUCGGAGGGGUAAUCGGAAUUCCUGGUGUAGCGGUGAAAUGCGUAGAUAUCAGGAGGAACACCAGUGGCGAAGGCGGCUUGCUGGACGACAACUGACACUGAGGCGCGAAAGCGUGGGGAGCAAACAGGAUUAGAUACCCUGGUA
rnacentral:rRNA from 1 species